UGUUAAUACCUUGAAGUGCGUGCCUUCUUACUGUGCUUGGCCUGGUGGUGUGACCUGCUUGUCUCUAAGAUACAUCAGUUUAAUGCCAUACUUUGGAAUAUCGCAUGCAAAGAAACAAAAUCUCCAUGGAGGCAAGCAAUUGACCGAUCCUUUAACAGAAAAGUUACAUAGUGUAGCUUUAAAUAAAAAAAAUAAAAAUAAAUAAAUAAAAAAAUGCAAAUAUAUUUUUUGUGUGUUUUUGAAAGCUGCUCCUGUCCACCUGUACAUCCUGAGUGUAGCACUGAUGUUCACCUCCAGUCUGCUCAUCGGAAUGACUUACUACGUGUGCUUAAAAAACAGCUCAGGGCGGCAUUCAACUUCUUCAGCAAAGGCAAAGGGUUUUCCAAAACUUGUCCAGUACAUGGCAGCCGAGCAGGUGACAGAAGACGGUAGAAGAUUGACUGACGGCACAUGGACGGAAUGCAUCUACUUCAGUGUGGAAAUGGGGUUUAAAUAAUUUCAGUUCAUUAUUUUAAGUUUUUAAGAUCUUUUAAGAACUAAAUGUUGUCAUCUUUGCACUGUAAAUAAAAUAAAAAAUAAAAUGAAUUACUCUGUAUUUGUUUACAUGGACAUUUUUGAUGUAUCA